rnacentral:rRNA from 1 species
CCUACGGGAGGCAGCAGUAGGGAAUCUUCCACAAUGGGCGAAAGCCUGAUGGAGCAACGCCGCGUGGGUGAAGAAGGUCUUCGGAUCGUAAAACUCUGUUGUUAGAGAAGAAAGUGCGUGAGAGUAACUGUUCACGUUUCGACGGUAUCUAACCAGAAAGCCACGGCUAACUACGUGCCAGCAGCCGCGGGAAUACGUAGGUGGCAAGCGUUAUCCGGAUUUAUUGGGCGUAAAAGGAACGCAGGCGGUCUUUUAAGUCUGAUGUGAAAGCCUUCGGCUUAACCGGAGUAGUGCAUUGGAAACUGGGAGACUUGAGUGCAGAAGAGGAGAGUGGAACUCCAGGUGUAGCGGUGAAAUGCGUAGAUAUAUGGAAGAACACCAGUGGCGAAAGCGGCUCUCUGGUCUGUAACUGACGCUGAGGUUCGAAAGCGUGGGUAGCAAACAGGAUUAGAUACCCUGGUAGUC